rnacentral:rRNA from 1 species
GCUUUCCUACGGGACGCAGCAGUGGGGAAUAUUGCACAAUGGGGGAAACCCUGAUGCAGCGACGCCGCGUGAAGGAAGAAGUAUUUCGGUAUGUAAACUUCUAUCAGCAGGGAAGAAAAUGACGGUACCUGACUAAGAAGCCCCGGCUAACUACGUGCCAGCAGCCGCGGUAAUACGUAGGGGGCAAGCGUUAUCCGGAUUUACUGGGUGUAAAGGGAGCGUAGGCGGCGAUGCAAGUCAGAAGUGAAAGGCGGGGGCUCAACCCCCGGACUGCUCUGGAAACUGCCAGGCUGGAGUGCAGGAGG